GGCCUUGCUCUUAUGUCAUCUGACUAAAGGUUUCAUAGACCAAAGAUAACCAUCCAACUUGUUGGAAUACUGAAACAAUUGCUGCCUGUUGUCCACACACCACUUAAAUAUGUGGAUUUCCUAAAUUCUGCAAAAAAGGUUUGGAAGCUGAUCAAGCAAUACUGGAACUCCCUCUUCUCCAGAAGAGACAUCCUGGCCUCCAUGCAAAGGAAUGUGUGGAUGGACAUAUAUUUAAGGAAGACACUAAACCAGAAACUACUACAUUACACCCUCUUAGAAGACUUCUAAGAUUGUUGUCAUGCCUACAACAGACAUUCAGAUGAUGUGUAUUGUUGAUUGUGAUUUCAUGUUUGGACCUGAUGAAGGAACCCAGGAGAUGAACAUAUGCCUGAGAAGACGAACUAGUGUGGAACUGUCAGCCAGGUUUUUGAUGAGUGCUCAGACUGCUUCCUGAUCCAGGAACCACAUUUACUAUAGUGGACAGAUGCUCUAGUCUCUGAUGAGGAGUUGCUAGCUGUUGGGAAGAACCUGAAAUGGGCUCCACUGCAUGAGGUUUGAAGUCUCCAGAGCAGCAAAGAGAGUGGGGAGUAGAACUAUUCAUCUUUAGGUCACUCAUCAUCG
rnacentral:lncRNA from 1 species